rnacentral:rRNA from 1 species
GACGAACGCUGGCGGCGUGCUUAACACAUGCAAGUCGAGCGGUAAGGCCCUUCGGGGUACCCGAGCGGCGAACGGGUGAGUAACACGUGAGUAAUCUGCCCAUCACUUCGGGAUAACUCCGGGAAACCGGUGCUAAUACCGAAUAUGACCACUUCAGGCAUCUGAUGGUGGUGGAAAGUUCCGGCGGUGAUGGAUGAGCUCGCGGCCUAUCAGCUUGUUGGUGGGGUAGUGGCCUACCAAGGCUUCGACGGGUAGCCGGCCUGAGAGGGUGACCGGCCACACUGGGACUGAGACACGGCCCAGACUCCUACGGGAGGCAGCAGUGGGGAAUAUGGGACAAUGGGCGAAAGCCUGAUCCAGCAACGCCGCGUGAGGGAUGACGGCCUUCGGGUUGUAAACCUCUUUCAGCAGGGACGAAGCGCAAGUGACGGUACCUGCAGAAGAAGCACCGGCCAACUACGU